UACGAAGGAGGCGAGCGUUGUCCGGAGUUACUGGGCGUAAAGGGUGCGCAGGUGGCCGUGCGCGUGGGGAGUGAAAUCGCCUGGCUUAACUGGGCGGGGGCUUUCCAGACGGCGCGGCUUGAGCCACAGAGGGGGGCGUGGAAUUCCGGGUGGAGCGGUGAAAUUCGUAGAUAUUCGGAAGAACACCAGUGGCGAAGGCGACUCACUGGACACGUAUUGACGCUGAGGUGCGAAAGCGUGGGGAGCAAACAGG
rnacentral:rRNA from 1 species